rnacentral:rRNA from 1 species
AGUGAACGCUGGCGGUAGGCCUAACACAUGCAAGUCGAACGGCAGCACAGUAAGAGCUUGCUCUUACGGGUGGCGAGUGGCGGACGGGUGAGGAAUACAUCGGAAUCUACUUUUUCGUGGGGGAUAACGUAGGGAAACUUACGCUAAUACCGCAUACGACCUACGGGUGAAAGCAGGGGAUCUUCGGACCUUGCGCGAUUGAAUGAGCCGAUGUCGGAUUGCUAGUUGGCGGGGUAAAGGCCCACCAAGGCGACGAUCCGUAGCUGGUCUGAGAGGAUGAUCAGCCACACUGGAACUGAGACACGGUCCAGACUCCUACGGGAGGCAGCAGUGGGGAAUAUUGGACAAUGGGCGCAAGCCUGAUCCAGCCAUACCGCGUGGGUGAAGAAGGCCUUCGGGUUGUAAAGCCCUUUUGUUGGGAAAGAAAAGCAGCAGGUUAAUACCCCGCUGUUCUGACGGUACCCAAAGAAUAAGCACCGGCUAACUUCGUG